GACGAACGCUGGCGGCGUGCUUAACACAUGCAAGUCGAACGGAAAGGCCUCUUUCGGGGGGUACUCGAGUGGCGAACGGGUGAGUAACACGUGAGUAACCUGCCCUUGACUUUGGGAUAACUUCAGGAAACUGGGGCUAAUACCGGAUAGGAGCUCCUGCUGCAUGGUGGGGGUUGGAAAGUUUCGGCGGUUGGGGAUGGACUCGCGGCGUAUCAGCUUGUUGGUGGGGUAGUGGCUUACCAAGGCUUUGACGGGUAGCCGGGCCGUGAGGGUGACCGGCCACACUGGGACUUAGAUACGGCCCAGACGCCGACGGGAGGGAGCAGGGGGGAAUAUUGCACAAUGGGUGGAAGCCUGAUGCAGCAACGCCGUGUGCGGGAUGACGGCCUUCGGGUUGUAAAACGCUUUCGCUCAUGACGAAGCUUUGUGUGACGGUAGUGGGUAAAGAAGCACCGGCUAACUACGUG
rnacentral:rRNA from 1 species